UGGACCCGAUUAUCCAUCGGUUCCAAAAUCAAUUUAAUUGGUUCGGUUCGGGUUCGGACGGGUAAUCGAGUACCCGCUACCCGUGCACACUCCUAACCGUAAUUUAAGUUUGCUCCAAAAAACUUCACGAUUCUUUUUGGUUCAGCUUCAAGCGUAAAACCCUAACCACGGAGUUUUCGAACGAAUUGGGAAUUUCAACUUGAUUUCAACCCCGGACAAAAUUACACUACACCAAUGACUGCGUCGAAGAAGAAUUACAAAGAGAAACCUAUACGUCGCAAGUCAUUUGUAGGCAAUUUCCCCUAAGGAGCUAACAAAUAUGGUCAGCGAAAAGUAAAGUUGAGCAAAAUAUGUCAACCAAAAUCUAAGUUGCAGACAAGCAGUGACGUUUGGUUGAAUUUGAAGAGGGUGAUUUCGUGUUGGUGAAGUUUCAACCUUAUAUACAGCAUUCAGUUGCUUUGAGGAAGCAUAAAAAAUUGGCGAUGCGCUAUUUCGGGCCAUUUAAGAUCUGUCGUAAGCUUAGUGCCAUGGCUUAUAAAUUGGCACUGCCUCCUGAAGCCAAGAUUCAUAAUGUGUUUCACAUAUCAGCUUUAAAGAAGUUUAGGGGUGAGAAGGUUGACCAUUAUCUCCCCCUUCCUCUAUGCACAACAGAGUUGGGUCCUUUAUUGGAACCGCAAGAGAUUCUGGGUACGAGAACAGUCAUCAAAGAUGGUAAAGAGAUUAUUCAAUUGCGGAUCAAAUGGGGUCAGGGGCCGAGUGCCAACACGUCGUGGGAGAGUGCUGAUGAUUUGCGCCAUACUUAUCCUGAUUUCAACCUUGAGGACAAGGUUGUUGUUGAUGAGCGGGGUAAUGUAACGAAUGGGAAGAAGGCAGAGCACGUUGAGGUUAACCAGGCUACCUAUACAUAAAAUAGUAAUAACAAUCAUGCCUUAGAGCCACAUAUGUUGGAGGAGGAAUUAGUUACAAGCCAAGGACAGAUGGCAAGCAUAGGGGUAAAUCAAGGCCCAAGAAGAAGUGCAAGAAUGAGAACUACUAAUAGGUGGUUAGAGAAAUACGUUCGUUAGCGUGAUGUGGUCCUUGGAUGAGGAGCGUGGAUUGUCUCUAAUGUCGUUCCUUCACAAUUUUUCUUCUCUUCUUUAUUAUACUGAUUCUGUUAUUGUACUGUGUACAUUGAAGCUUGAGUCCUCCAUAGUGUGUUAUACCUGCUACUGCUAUUCCCUUCAAUAAAAUUUAUAUUACACCCUUCCAUUUAA